rnacentral:rRNA from 2 species
UACGUAGGGUGCAGGCGUUAAUCGGAAUUACUGGGCGUAAAGCGUACGCAGGCGGUUUGCUAAGACAGGUGUGAAAUCCCCGGGCUUAACCUGGGAACUGCGCUUGUUACUGGCAAGCUAGAGUGUGGCAGAGGGGGGUAGAAUUCCAGGUGUAGCAGUGAAAUGCGUAGAUAUCUGGAGGAAUACCGAUGGCGAAGGCAGCCCCCUGGGUUAACACUGACGCUCAUGUACGAAAGCGUGGGGAGCAAACAGG